AUGGACCAGUAUGGUCCACUUCCCAUGGAGCGAUGUCCUGACUGCCCACGCAGCGGGCCACUGAUACGGUUGACUUCGAAGGAGGUCAAGAAUGGCAACUAUGGGCGCGAGUUCGUGAAAUGCGAGAGCAAGCCAGAGGGGCAGAUCGUGAAGAAAUGCACACAUUUUGAAUGGCUGGAUGACUACGUUAAGCAGAUUCAAUUCAGGGGGCCCAACCCGGGAGCUCAAUCUGCUGUCAGCACCAACGAAUUUGGUCUCUGA
rnacentral:rRNA from 1 species